rnacentral:rRNA from 1 species
UACGUAGGCAGCGAGCGUUGUUCGGAGUUACUGGGCGUAAAGGGUGUGUAGGCGGUUGCUUAAGUUUGGUGUGAAAUCUCCCGGCUCAACUGGGAGGGUGCGCCGAAUACUGAGUGACUAGAGUGCGGGAGAGGAAAGUGGAAUUCCUGGUGUAGCGGUGAAAUGCGUAGAUAUCAGGAGGAACACCGGUGGUGUAGACGGCUUUCUGGACCGUAACUGACGCUGAAACACGAAAGCGUGGGUAGCAAACAGG